AAGUCGUAACAAGGUUUCCGUAGGUGAACCUGCGGAAGGAUCAUUAAAGAGUUAGGGUCUCUCCAGGCCCGACCUCCCAACCCUUUGUUUACUUUGCUGCAUGUUGCUUUGGCAGACCCGUCUCACGACCGCCCUGGGACCGCCGAGAGGUGCCCCUGGGCCCGUGUCCGCCGAUAGCCCACCUAAACUCUUGAAUGAAUCGUGUUUUAUGUCUGAGUCUAUUGAUUAAAUCAAAAGCAAAAACUUUCAACAACGGAUCUCUUGGUUCUG
rnacentral:misc_RNA from 1 species